AACGAACGCUGGCGGCAUGCCUAACACAUGCAAGUCGAACGAGACCUUCGGGUCUAGUGGCGCACGGGUGCGUAACGCGUGGGAAUCUGCCCUUGGGUUCGGAAUAACUCAGAGAAAUUUGAGCUAAUACCGGAUGAUGACGAAAGUCCAAAGAUUUAUCGCCCAAGGAUGAGCCCGCGUAAGAUUAGCUUGUUGGUGGGGUAAUGGCCCACCAAGGCGACGAUCUUUAGCUGGUCUGAGAGGAUGAUCAGCCACACUGGGACUGAGACACGGCCCAGACUCCUAAGGGAGGCAGCAGUGGGGAAGAUUGGACAAUGGGCGAAAGCCUGAUCCAGCAAUGCCGCGUGAGUGAUGAAGGCCUUAGGGUUGUAAAGCUCUUUUACCAGGGAUGAUAAUGACAGUACCUGGAGAAUAAGCUCCGGCUAACUCCGUGCCAGCAGCCGCAGUAACAC
rnacentral:rRNA from 1 species